rnacentral:rRNA from 1 species
AGAUUGAACGCUGGCGGCAUGCCUUACACAUGCAAGUCGAACGGCAGCACGGGAGCAAUCCUGGUGGCGAGUGGCGAACGGGUGAGUAAUAUAUCGGAACGUGCCCAGUCGUGGGGGAUAACGCAGCGAAAGCUGUGCUAAUACCGCAUACGAUCUAUGGAUGAAAGCGGGGGAUCGCAAGACCUCGCGCGAUUGGAGCGGCCGAUAUCAGAUUAGCUAGUUGUGGGUAAAGCCUACCAA